rnacentral:rRNA from 1 species
UACGUAGGGGGCUAGCGUUGUCCGGAAUCAUUGGGCGCAAAGCGCGUGUAGGCGGUCCGGUAAGUCCGCUGUGAAAGUCGGGGGCUCAACCCUCGGAUGCCGGUGGAUACUGUCGGGCUUGAGUACGGAAGAGGCGAGUGGAAUUCCUGGUGUAGCGGUGAAAUGCGCAGAUAUCAGGAGGAACACCAAUUGCGAAGGCAGCUCGCUGGGACGUUACUGACACUGAGGAGCGAAAGCCAGGGGAGCAAACGGG